CCUGGUAGCUCAGUUAGUAAAGUAUCUGCUUGCAAUGCAGGAGACCUGGGUUCGAUUCCUGGGUCAGGA
rnacentral:tRNA from 1 species